rnacentral:rRNA from 1 species
CCUACGGGAGGCAGCAGUGGGGAAUAUUGCACAAUGGGGGAAACCCUGAUGCAGCGACGCCGCGUGAGUGAAGAAGUCUUUCGGUAUGUAAAGCUCUAUCAUCAGGGAAGAAAAUGACGGUUCCUGAUUAAGAAGCCCCGGCUAACUACGUGCCAGCAGCCGCGGGAAUACGUAGGGGGCAAGCGUUAUCCGGAUUUACUGGGUGUAAAGGGAGCGUAGACGGGAGCACAAGUCAGGAGUGAAAUGCCGGGGCUUAACCCCGGAACUGCUUUGGAAACUGUGCAGCUAGAGUGCAGGAGAGGUAAGCGGAAUUCCUAGUGUAGCGGUGAAAUGCGUAGAUAUUAGGAGGAACACCAGUGGCGAAGGCGGCUUACUGGACUGUAACUGACGUUGAGGCUCGAAAGCGUGGGGAGCAAACAGGAUUAGAUACCCCUGUAGUC